GCAUUAAUGAGGUAGUGGUAGCCUGGGUCGUUGCCAUCCCGAUAUGCAUACAUUUCCAAUGUAUUGACCCGCCAGGGGUUCAAUUCCCCCUUGAUGCA